GUACAGUUUUUUUUUAAAGAAACGAAAAAAUACAACAUAAUUCUACCUCGUCAUACUGAUUGUUAUGCAGAAGAAGAGUCUGAUCGAGUUCAUACAGAGUGAUAUUAUGAUCUUAGUAAUUAGUUCCACUCUCUUUCCAUCAAAGUAGGUCAAUAACAAGCAAAGAAAGAGAGAAACUCCUUUUCUUUUCCUUUGUAUAAAACUAGAACAAACAUGCGUCCCCCUUCCUUUUGGGGAUUCUCUAAUCUCUCCCCGCCACCGUUAUCGUAGGGCCUCGGAGGUGGAGAUCUAAAGUCAUCUCUUCCAUCAAAUCUAUCAUCCCCACGGGAAUUUCCCCUUGCACUACCACCUUUCUUCUCAAACAACAUCAAUUCCAGCCUUUGAUCCAAGUAGAAUGCAUAAGUUCGAACAAAAGCCGAGUGAUCCCACGAGCUCGAAUGAGCUUCAUCCUUAAAAUCAGACAUAUUCAACAGCCUCGUGCCCCUUCUAGUAGCAUACAAGAUCUCCUCCUGAAACACCGGGUCCCCUUCAUUCAACAAUCUGUGCACAAGUAUGAGUGCCUU
rnacentral:misc_RNA from 1 species